AAGUAGCAAUUCCUCCUGAAGGUCAGAGAUUACAGCAUCUGAGGGCCUCUUCAAAAGAAGACGUAGUUGAUGAAGGCAUUCUGGAGCAGGACCAGAAAGACCACGACCAAGCAGCCUUGAGAUCUUAGGCAGCGUCUCCCUGAGGUCCCUCUCUAUCUCCCCAUACAUCCACCAACCACUGGAACACAUCUCCAAAGUUCUGCCGGGCCAGCUCAGCUUCCCCUCAGAAGAAGUUCCGCCAGAUGAAGGAGCCUUUUGAGAGGCAGCUGGCAUCGUGAUUGGACUGUACUUUGGUCUGUUCCAAUCCAGCUUCAGCUCCAGAGACGGCAGGCGGGACGAGUCAACGGAGGCCUGGUGGACGAAGGCAUGCAGCUGAGUACAAUCCAGAAAACAACAGAGGAGGAGUGCAGCGGCCCAGGACCAGAACAAGCAGAGUAUGUCUCUUAGAAAACAUCAUAGUAUAGCCUUUGCUAUGAAAAAACUCCAUCAUAUACAUCGUAUAUUGUACAAAUAACAAGUCAAAGGAAAGAGACAUACAUUGUAGAAUUGUAGUAAUUGUGGGCUGACUGAUUUACUGAUUAUCAGUAUUUUAUUUUUUACUGAUUUACGGUAAUAAAUACAUUUAAAAAUGG